rnacentral:rRNA from 1 species
AUUUAAAUUGGAGGUAAAAAGGGUGCCGUAGGGGGGGUUUUUUAAACUCCGGAAAGGGAAAUCCCGGGAGUUUUACUUUGGGGAAUUGCAUUCCGAUACCGGGAAAGCUUAGAGUUAUGGGAGGAGGAUCGUUAGAAAUUCCCAGGAGUAGCCGGUGAAAAUGCGUAGAGAUCCUGGAGGAAUACCGAUGCCGAAGGCAGCCAUUCUGCCCUUAAUACUGACGCUGAUGGUACGAAAAGCAUGGGGAGCAAACAGGAUUAGAUACCCUUGGUAGUUCCAUGCCCGUAAAACGAUGUCUUACUAGCACGUUGGCGGCCUCUUGAGGCGUUUAGUGGCGCAGCUAACGCGAUAAGUAGACCCCCAUGGGGGAGUACGGUCGCAAGACUAAAACUCAAAUGAAUUGACGGGGGCCUGCACAAGCGGUGGAGCAUGUGGUUUAAUUCGAUGCAACGCGAAGAACCUUACCUGGCCUUGACAUACUAAGAACUUUCCAGAGAUGGAUCGGUGCCUUCGGGAACUUAGAUACAGGUGCUGCAUGGCUGUCGUCAGCUCGUGUCGUGAGAUGUUGGGUUAAGUCCCGCAACGAGAGCAACCUUUUUCCUUAUUUGGCAUCGGGUCAUUCCGGGAACUUUCCAGGAUACUAACAGUGACAAACUGUGGGGUAGGGGGGGGGUACGGGCCAAUUUUUAAUGCCCUUUAGGGCGAGGGUUACAUAGGUGCUACAAUGGUUGGUACAAAGGGUUGUUACUUCGCGAGAGGAUGUUAAUCUCAAAAAGCCGAUCGUAGUCCGGAUCGCAGUCUGCAACUCGACUGCGUGAAGUCGGAAUCGCUAGUAAUCGCGGAUCAGAAUGCCGCGGUGAAUACGUUCCCGGGCCUUGUACACACCGCCCGUCACACCAUGGGAGUUUGUUGCACCAGAAGUAGCGUAGUCUCACGCGCAAGGUAGGCCGCGUACCUGCAGUGUUCUCCCGUUCCG